CCCUUAGAUGUUCUGGGCCGCGCGCGCGCUACACUGAUCAGUGCAACAAGCAUCCGUCCUUGGCCGACAGGCCCGGGCAAUCUUUGAACGCUGAUCGUGAUGGGGAUAGACUUUUGCAAUUUUUGGUCUUCAACGAGGAAUUCCUAGUAAACGCAAGUCAUCAACUUGCAUUGAUUACGUCCCUGCCCUUUGUACACACCGCCCGUCGCACCUACCGAUUGAAUGGUCCGGUGAAGCCUCCGGAUUGGCGUGCACCCUCGGGUGCUGCCGAGAAGUUGGCUAAACCUUACCAUUUAGAGGAAGGUGAAGUCGUAACA
rnacentral:rRNA from 1 species